rnacentral:rRNA from 1 species
CCUGGUUGAUCCUGCCAGUAGUCAUAUGCUUGUCUCAAAGAUUAAGCCAUGCAUGUGUAAGCACACACUGUUUUAAAAGUGAAGCCGCGAAUGGCUCAUUACAACAGCCACAGUUUAUUAGAACUUACAAUCAUGGAUAACUGUGGUAAUUCUAGAGCUAAUACACGCACAAAAACUUCAACUGAAUUGGUUGAAGUGCUUUUAUUAGAACAAAAACCGAACGGCGUUUGACGAAUGUUGAACGUCGAAACUGUUUGGUGAAUCUGAAUAACUAUUUCUGAUCGCAUGGUCUAGCACCGGCGACAUCACUUUCAAGUGUCUGCCUUAUCAACCUUCGAUGGUAGUCUAUGCGACUACCAUGGUGAUAACGGGUAACGGAGAAUCAGGGUUCGACUCCGGAGAGGGAGCCUGAGAAACGGCUACCACAUCCAAGGAAGGCAGCAGGCGCGCAAAUUACCCACUCCCAGCUUGGGGAGGUAGUGACGAAAAAUAACGAGACGAUUCUCGUUUGAGAAACGUUAUCGAAAUGAGUACGCUUUACACACGCUAACGAGUAGCAAUUGGAGGGCAAGUCUGGUGCCAGCAGCCGCGGUAAUUCCAGCUCCAAUAGCGUAUAUUAAAGUUGCUGCGGUUAAAACGCUCGUAGUUGAAUUGUGGUCUUAGACAACAGUCCCCCUACAAAGGUGUGGCACGGUUGCUCGAGAUCUUCAUUCGUGGUUGCUGUUGUUGCUCUUCAUUGAGUGUCAAUGGUGCCUCGAGAUUUUACUUUGAAAAAAUUAGAGUGCUCAAAGCAGGUUGUGAUGCCUGAAUAAUGGUGCAUGGAAUAAUAGAAUACGAUCUCGGUUCUAUUUUGUUGGUUUUCGAACCGGAGAUAAUGAUUGAAAGGAACAGACGGGGGCAUUCGUAUUGCUGCGUUAGAGGUGAAAUUCUUGGAUCGCAGCAAGAUGAACAAUUGCGAAAGCAUUUGCCAAGAAUGUUUUCAUUAAUCAAGAACGAAAGUUAGAGGUUCGAAGGCGAUCAGAUACCGCCCUAGUUCUAACGGUAAACUAUGCCAACCAGCGAUUCGCCGAAGUUCAUUUAAGACUCGGCGAGCAGCUUCCGGGAAACCAAAGUGUUUCGGUUCCGGGGGAAGUAUGGUUGCAAAGCUGAAACUUAAAGGAAUUGACGGAAGGGCACCACCAGGAGUGGAGCCUGCGGCUUAAUUUGACUCAACACGGGAAAACUCACCCGGCCCGGACACUGGAAGGAUUGACAGAUUGACAGCUCUUUCUUGAUUCAGUGGGUAGUGGUGCAUGGCCGUUCUUAGUUGGUGGAGCGAUUUGUCUGGUUAAUUCCGAUAACGAACGAGACUCUACCCUAUUAAAUAGUGACAGUAUUGUAUUUUUUGUGCUGAUCACUUCUUAGAGGGACUGGCAAAUUGAAAGCUGCACGAAAAAGAGCAAUAACAGGUCUGUGAUGCCCUUCGAUGUCCGGGGCUGCACGCGCGCUACAAUGAAAGCGUCAACGUGAGUUACGUCCUUACCUGAAAAGGUUUGGCAAUCGAAUGAAACGUUUUCUUGAAUGGAAUAGGGAAUUGCAAUUGUUUCCCUUGAACGAGGAAUUCCCAGUAAGCGUGAGUCAUUAGCUCGCGUUGAUUACGUCCCUGCCCUUUGUACACACCGCCCGUCGCUACUACCGAUUGGAUGAUUUAGUGAGGUGUUUUGACUGGCGCCAGUAGUCGGAUAUGUAUUCGGCUUCGCGCCGGGAAAUUUCCCAAACCAAAUCAUCUAGAGGAAGUAAAAGUCGUAACAAGGUUUCCGUAGGUGAACCUGCGGAAG